AAAGAUCGACUUGAUUUCUAAUAUAACCCCUUCCAAAGAAAACUGGAAUAUCAGGGUUCGAGUCGUUCGCCUUUGGUUUGUGAGAGAUAUGAAAAAGGAUUAACUUCCUUACUCAUUGGAAAUGGUUUUAAUGAACAAUAAGGUUGUUUGAUUCCAUUUUUUUUGUUUUUAUCUUUUUUUUACCAAUAAUUUUCUGUUUAUGUUGUGUGUAACUAUAUGAAGGAGUUCAUUUUUUUUUAUAUAUAUGAAAGAAAUAAUUUGGCGCGAUUAUAUCAAUAAUUUUUGUUUGACUCCUUGGAAUUUUUUUUGUUUAUAUCCAAUUAAUUGUUUAUAAUUUUUUGUCUGGCUGUUAUUCUUUUUUUCUUUCAUUUUUAUAUUAUUUUAUCCGUAAUUGUAUUAGGCCAUUUUUUUCGAUAAAGAUGACACCGGUUGAAAUCGUUUCUGAUAUCUCCCAUUCGCAUCACGAAAUUUGGAGUAUCAAUGGUCGAAUCAUGGUUGAUUUAUUUUACAUUUCUAUCUUCAUUUAUAAUUAUAGCAAGUGUAUAUUCUUUGACCGAUAUAUAUAUAUUUUUUUUUGAAUGCAAUCAUAAUGAAUAACAAAUAAUUUUUUUUUUAUGCAAUCGAAAGGAGCAAUUUUUAAUUUCCUAAAUGAGAUAACCUUUUUUUUAGGAAACCAAAUCGAGAUCUUUUACAUCAAUUUUUUUUCUCUAAAUUAAUCAUAUCACUUAUUUAUAUUAUAAAAUGUUUUAUUAUCUAAAUUAAAGUUGUUCCUUUUAUUUGAUAGGGUGACCGAAUCAAUGCGUUGUAAGACGUACUCUCAUAUACAAGUAUGAGAAGGAGCUGAGGGAGGACCGUGUUUUUUCCAUUGGGAAUUUUAG
rnacentral:lncRNA from 1 species